rnacentral:rRNA from 1 species
UACGAAGGGGGCUAGCGUUGCUCGGAAUCACUGGGCGUAAAGCGCACGUAGGCGGAUUGUUAAGUCAGGGGUGAAAUCCUGGAGCUCAACUCCAGAACUGCCUUUGAUACUGGCGAUCUCGAGUCCGGGAGAGGUGAGUGGAACUGCGAGUGUAGAGGUGAAAUUCGUAGAUAUUCGCAAGAACACCAGUGGCGAAGGCGGCUCACUGGCCCGGUAUGAC